rnacentral:rRNA from 1 species
GCGAGGCCGAAAGGCGUAGUCGAUGGGAAACAGGUUAAUAUUCCUGUACUUGGUGUUACUGCGAAGGGGGGACGGAGAAGGCUAUGUUAGCCGGGCGACGGUUGUCCCGGUUUAAGCAUGUAGGCUGGUUAUCCAGGCAAAUCCGGAUAAUCAAGGCUGAGGUGUGAUGACGAGGCACUACGGUGCUGAAGUAACAAAUGCCCUGCUUCCAGGAAAAGCCUCUAAGCAUCAGGUAACAUCAAAUCGUACCCCAAACCGACACAGGUGGUCAGGUAGAGAAUACCAAGGCGCUUGAGAGAACUCGGGUGAAGGAACUAGGCAAAAUGGUGCCGUAACUUCGGGAGAAGGCACGCUGGUGUGUAGGUGA